rnacentral:rRNA from 1 species
GACGAACGCUGGCGGCGUGCUUAACACAUGCAAGUCGAACGGAAAGGCCCUGCUUUUGUGGGGUGCUCGAGUGGCGAACGGGUGAGUAACACGUGAGUAACCUGCCCUUGACUUUGGGAUAACUUCAGGAAACUGGGGCUACUACCGGAUAGGAGCUCCUGCUGCAUGGUGGGGGUUGGAAUGUUUCGGCGGUUGGGGAUGGACUCGCGGCUUAUCAGCUUGUUGGUGGGGUAGUGGCUUACCAAGGCAUUGACGGGUAGCCGGCCUGAGAGGGGGACCGGCCAAAUUGGGACUGAGAUACGGCCCAGACUCCUACGGGAGGCAGCAGUGGGGAAUAUUGCACAAUGGGCGGAAGCCUGAUGCAGCAACGCCGCGUGCGGGAUGACGGCCUUCGGGUUGUAAACCGCUUUCGCCUGUGACGAAGCGUGAGUGACGGUAAUGGGUAAAGAAGCACCGGCUAACUACGUG